rnacentral:lncRNA from 1 species
GGACCGACGGGAUAACAGCUGGUCAAGAAUGGAUGACGAGCACGGAAAAGGAGUGUCUGAGCCCAAGGGCUAGCCUCCACUCAUGAGGUUCUAGUCAUCACGAGGAUGAUUGGGCCUAAUGAUAUGUAUGUGUGUGUUAGUAUGGAUAAGAUGGUUGUUAUGAAUGUAUUGUUAGAAGUUAAUGCAUGUUAGGUUGAUUGCUUGUAUCAAAGUUUAUAUGCUAUCAUGAUGGUCGUUGUAUAGCUUAAGAAAAUGUUCUAUGUUUC